rnacentral:rRNA from 1 species
UACGUAGGGGCCUAGCGUUGUCCGGAAUUAUUGGGCGUAAAGAGCUCGUAGGCGGUUUGUCGCGUCUGCCGUGAAAGUCCGGGGCUCAACUCCCGGAUCUGCGGUGGGUACGGGCAGACUAGAGUGAUGUAGGGGGAGACUGGAAUUCCUGGUGUAGCGGUGAAAUGCGCAGAUAUCAGGAGGAACACCGAUGGCGAAGGCAGGUCUCUGGGCAUUAACUGACGCUGAGGAGCGAAAGCAUGGGGAGCGAACAGG